UGGGGAAUCUUGCGCAAUGGGCGAAAGCCUGACGCAGCCAUGCCGCGUGAAUGAUGAAGGUCUUAGGAUUGUAAAAUUCUUUCACCGGGGACGAUAAUGACGGUACCCGGAGAAGAAGCCCCGGCUAACUUCGUGCCAACAGCCGCGGUAAUACGAAGGGGGCUAGCGUUGCUCGGAAUUACUGGGCGUAAAGGGAGCGUAGGCGGAUAGUUUAGUCAGAGGUGAAAGCCCAGGGCUCAACCUUGGAAUUGCCUUUGAUACUGGCUAUCUUGAGUAUGGAAGAGGUAUGUGGAACUCCGAGUGUAGAGGUGAAAUUCGUAGAUAUUCGGAAGAACACCAGUGGCGAAGGCGACAUACUGGUCCAUUACUGACGCUGAGGCUCGAAAGCGUGGGGAGCAAACAGGAUUAGAUACCCAAGUAGUCCCUGAGCGGGCUGGCAAGGCGCAU
rnacentral:rRNA from 1 species